AUAUUUCUGGCUAGUCCUCAGAUUCUCUAUAAUAAAUAUCCUAAUUUAAACGAAAUAUAUACAUUAUAUGUGAGACAGAUGUUAAUUUCAAAUUAUAUAUUUGGAUAACAGUUUCCUAUUAUUACUUGAGAGCCUAAAGAGACAGAGAUGGACAUAAUCUCAGGACAAGCUCUGUUCCUCCUCUGUUGCUUUAUCUUAUCAUGUUUUCUUAUCUUCACCACCACACGAUCUCGACAGAUCUCUCGCAAGGCUACCGCGCUGCCUCCAGGACCUCCACGGUUACCGAUCAUCGGAAAUAUUCACCUUGUCGGGAAACAUCCACACCGUUCAUUCGCCGACCUCUCAAAAACUUAUGGACCAGUCAUGAGUCUUAAGCUUGGAAGUUUAAAUACAGUGGUUAUAGCUUCACCGCAAGCUGCAAGAGAGGUUUUACGAACACAUGACCAGAUUUUGUCUGGCCGUAGCCCCACUAACUCGAUACGGUCCAUCAAUCACCAAGAUGCUUCCCUUGUCUGGCUUCCUGCGUCGACGGCUCGUUGGAGGCUGUAUAGAAGACUGUCGGUGACUCAGCUAUUCUCACCACAGCGUCUCGAAGCCACGAAAGCCAUGAGGGCGAACAAGGUGAAGGAACUUGUGAGCUUCAUAAGUGAAAGCAGCGAUAGAGAAGAAUCGGUUGAUAUUUCUCGAGCAUCCUUCAUCACAACUCUUAAUAUCAUAUCGAACAUUCUGUUUUCCGCCGAUCUCGGUACCUACAACGCGAAAGAUUCUGUUAACGGAGUUCAAGACACGGUGAUUAGUGUUAUGGAGACUGUCGGAAAACCAGACGCUGCUAAUUACUUUCCAUUACUGAGGUUUCUUGAUCUGCAAGGUAAUAGGAAGACUAUGAAAGCUUGCACAGAGAGGUUGUUCAGGGUUUUCCGUGGGUUCAUUGAUGCUAAGAUUGCGGAAAAAUCAUCGCAGAGUAACCCUAAAGAUGUUUCAAAAAACGAUUUCGUAGACAACCUUCUGAAUUACAAGGGAGAUGAAGCAGAAAUCAACAUUAGCGAUAUUGAACAUCUUGUCUUGGAUAUGUUCACAGCAGGCUCGGAUACAAGCUCUAGUACCCUAGAGUGGGCAAUGGCAGAGUUACUUAGAAACCCUAAAACGAUGUUGAAAGCUCAAGCCGAGAUGGAUCGUGUGAUAGGACAAAACGGUAUGGUUGAAGACUCAGAUAUCUCAGAACUGCCGUAUUUACAAGCAGUUGUGAAGGAAACUUUCCGGCUACAUCCGGGUGCUCCGUUUCUUGUCCCGAGAAAAGCCGAAUCCGAUGUGGAGAUUCUUGGGUUCAUGGUGCUUAAAGAUACUCAGGUUCUAGUAAACGUGUGGGGUAUAGGACGAGACCCGAGCGUGUGGGAGAAUCCUACCCUGUUUGAGCCAGAGAGGUUUUUGGGGAAAGAAAUCGAUUUGAGAGGUAGAGAUUAUGAGUUUACACCAUUUGGAGCCGGACGUAGAAUUUGCCCGGGAUUGCCUUUUGCUGUGAAAACAGUGUCUCUUAUGCUUGCUUCUCUUCUCUAUUCCUUUGACUGGAAGCUACCAAACGGCGUCGUUUCUGAGAAUUUGGACAUGGACGAGACCUUCGGUAUCACUUUACAUAAGACCAAACCGUUACAUGCCAUUCCUGUCAAGAAACGCGUCAUUAAUUAAUACAUGAUGGCUAGGGCUUGAAGAAGUCAAAAAUAUCCAUAUUGAUGAUACUAGGCCUCGGUAUCAGCUUGCAAGGAAACGAAGAUGUUUCGGAGAAAACAACGAAGUUUCUCCAAACCAAUGCAGAUGACUGGACUAGUUAAAGGGGAGCUCUUGAUUACAAUGCUAGAUGGAAGUUUAAAGCUUGAAGUCUCAUUUCUCAAUGCAUGACUUAUUCCAGACAUUUUUCCUCUAUUGGCUGCUGCUCAGAAAGCACUUGUCUCCAACUCACGCGAUUCCUUAUCAACCCGAACUCUUCAUUCUGAGCUCGUUUACAAUUACUCUGGAUCUAAGCAUAUUACAGAAUCAUUAAAACGAUGUGGGAUUUCUGAAACUUCUACUUACAUUCUAUCUGCGUUGUUCAAUGCUUCACUCAUCGAGAUGGAAGAGGUAGCGAAGAGUUUCCAUGUCAUCGCAUCAAAUUCUUUCAGCAUUACAAGAUAACUAGCCAAGAACUUUGAGUUUUCUUAGAAGCUUCACAGGACAAGGACUGAUGUUUGCUUAUAGUCCCUCAGCCGUCUACCUUGGUGACUUGUGAAGUCACACACACGGUUCUGAUCAUUUUAGUUUGCCUUCCUAUAUUGUUGGUUUUGGUUUUAUAUCCUUCAAGGAAACAAACUGCUUUUAAGGUGAUCUAUUAUAUUGUUGGUUCUGCUA